AGAGGUGGGCUGAAUCCUUCCCAUAUGUUCGUUAACGCACUCAACAUUGACGACAGCCUUUAUUAGUUACUACCAUGAUCAAUAAGGUUACUUUGGGAGUGCUCAGCAUUUCAGUUCUUACGUUUUUAUCGGAUCUUGCAUCUUCUAGAUCAAAUUCAUUCCUUAUUGAAAGCUAUGCCGUCAAGUGCGAUGUGACCUGGCCAAUAAUACAAGAUCUAAUGAGUGGAUUGCCACUUUCGACCAUCUCACCUUUGUGUUUAUCGACUAAACACUCUGCUGAAUGUAUUGGCGUCAAAUGCAACUCAUCCACCUCAAAUUGCGAAUUGCUCAAAAGGCCGCCUAAUACCUUCGUGAAUUGCAUUGAAAACCCUGUCAAACUGGAAAUUCAAGUCUCUUUGAAUGCCAAAACGGUGAAACGGCAACCAGGACAUCCUUACCGUUGCUGGAUUGGAAUCCCAGCAAUUCAAGACGAGAUAUUUAUUUAUUUUUAUAUAUCAUUUGAUCGACCAACGAAUUACUCUUGGCUGAUCUGGCUAACCCUUGAAUAUAAGGUGGAUAUGGAAUGUUUCUCAAGAACUUGUCUGACUUGGUUAAAUCCUGCUACUAGAUCAACCUCUACAUCCGACCUACGCAAAUUUGAAGGGAGCAAAUUGAACAAUGAAGGAGCCCGAGAAAGAAGAGAGUUGGACUUCAUUGUUUUAACCAGCCUGGAUUCUCGAGGGCUUGAGGAUGCUCUCAAAACGCACAUUAAGCCCCUACGGUCAAUACAAUUAACCCUAAAUCUUGGGUUAGGACAAAGCUCAUGAAUGCUUUUGAAAACGUACAAUAUCAGAUACCUUUCGUACCUUCUCUGAGUACUGUACAAUCCCAACCAUUCUAACCUCUCCCAGUACGAGAGCUCUCUCAUAUCCUCAAUGUUCCUAGUAAAACAUCUUUGGACCUGCUCGAGCUUUUGCAAACCUGCUGAACUCAUUGGAGCCCUAAUGGGAGAGGCAUAUUCAAGAUGUGGUUGGACAAUCGACUUGUACAGAGUUAGCAUCAGGAUGCUAACUCUGGACUUAAACGUGCGAUAUAUCCAACCACACAUUUGAAAAGCCUUACCCACCUUCAGCUGGAUAUGCUCAUCGAACUUUUCGUCAUUUUGGAGGACUACACCUAAAUCCUUCAUGGAUGAGACCUGCUCAAUGUCCUUACCUUCAUCAUCUAAUAGUGGAGUGUCUAAUGGCGUCGACCCAAAGGUCAUUAAGCUGAAUUUCAUUCCAUUCAGUGUCAAAUUACUCGCAACAACCCAAGAGUAGAUUUGGUAUAGGGCCUCUACCAGACAACCGGAAUGCUGACCAUUCCUUCCAACUACCAAUUUUGUAUCAUCAGCAAAGGAAGAGAUACUGACAUUACUACUACCAAGCUUCUGAAGCAGAGCAAUGAAGAUUAUUAAAAGGAGAGGACCCAUAAUGGAACCCUGAGGAACACCCGACUUGACAUCAUGUAUGCUUCCGACCAGAAAUGAAACUUCUUAACCAAUUGAGAACCUUGCCUUGCAUCCCAAUCUCAUGGAGCCUGUUAACUAAAAGACCAUGAUCUACCUUGUCAAAGGCCUUGGCAAAGUCGAGAUAAACUACAUCAACUGAUUCAUGUCUUUCUAGUCCCUCAAUAACCUGCUCUACAUGUUCAAUCAGUUGGGUAACCGUGCUAAAAUGUGCUCGAAACCCAUGCUGGCGAGGAGGAAGGACUUCAUGGAUAUCAAGAAAUUCAACAAGUUUGAACGUCAUGAUCUUCUCAAACACCUUCGGAAUAUUCGAAGUGAGAGAAAUCGGCCUUUAGUUACUGGGGAGUGACGUAUCUCCCCCUUUGAAAAUUGGAACAACAUGAGCUACCUUAAAAGAAGAGGGGAACUUGCCCUGAUCCAAGAUGCAACGCAUCAAGUGCGAGAAAACAGAAGCAAGAACCUGUGAGCAUCUCAUCAGAAACUGAAAUGUCACUCUUUCAGGGCCAGGGGAGUACGAGAGUCUCAAGUCCCUGAUGGCCUCCAAAGCAUCUUGAUCUGUGACUAUAAUAUCAUCUAAACGCCCAACUUGACCAGCCUUGCCAAUCUCAACAAAGUCAUCAAAAGAGCAAUGGGCUGUCGCUCCUAAACUCUUUGGAGUUGAAAACACACUAGAAAACUUUAAGAAGUUCAUAUUAUCUUUAAAUCAGACUUGGACAAGUUUUUGACGAAAAAUCCUGAUCAACCUUAUAUUCAAGGGUUAGCCAGAUCAGCCAACACUAAUUCGUUGGUCAAUAAAACAAUAUAUAUAACAACAUAUAAAUUAAUAAAUUUUACGUCUUGAACUUGAACUGGCGGUAAAGAAGUCCGCAAAAAAUACUUUAAAAUGACAAUCAUUAGUUAGGGAAUUUUAAGACUCACUCAGAUCAAGGACGACAUCCUCGCCCUAAUUGCCCAGGGAAGGGGAAAAUAUCUAAAUCUUUUCCACAAAUUGAGCUUUAGGGAUUCGCAAAAAAAUGUUAUACCAAUAAAGAUGUUGCAGCCUAAAGCAUUUGAAUAUUAUAUUGCAAUCGGUCUUCAAAUCGUAACUUGCCACAACUCUCUAUCAUUUUUUUCAAAUUUUCCAAACGCCUCAAGAGCUCGCGUUUAUAGAGUUGGAAGAUGGCGAAAUCGAGUCUUCAUCAGUAAGCGGGAUUCCUCCCACUUCGAUUCCUCCCAUACAUGGAACCCCUCUACAAGUUCAAUGGAGAAAGGGCAUUUUGCAUUGUACUGAAAAUGCAACGGAUUGCCAUUAUUGGAGUUCAGAUACAAACGCCUGGAGUAUAUUUCCCUCCUUAAACAAAAUUCAUCGCUUCGGAUCAAUGACUGUGCUUGGAGACAAGCCCAUUGUGAUUGGAGGACACCCCACUGCUGAAAAAAUCAAUCAUGGGGCUGUGGAGAUAUUUGACAAGGCCUCUCAGCAAUGGAUCCUGGGACCAACUCUGGAGCCCGUUCGACAUGCCAUUGGGUUGGUGGUGCUCAAUGAGACAUCGUUACUUGCAGUUGGUGGAUAUGACAAGAUCCGGCGGGCGGAAGUGAACAUCCUACAUAUUGAAAACAAUCAAUGGACAAGAAUGGACGAUCUUCCUGGAACCACUUACGGAUCUGCUUGUGGUUUGAUCAAUGUGUCUAAAGUCAUAUGCAUUGGAGGAAGAGAUCCUGUUGGGGCCUCGAAGAAGGCUUACAGUCUGGACAUGUCCCUCUCGGUCCCCAAAUGGACAAGGGAAAUAUCUUUAGAUUUCGAAGACGCAGUUCUGUAUGGAUUGAUUUACACUUUAAGAGAUCAGCUCUUUUCAAUGACGCUUCUCCAGUCCACCGAGUACACGAAGGCCAAGACAUUGAGACGAAUAAACUUGGCAGACGCAAAUCCUGUCUGGGAGAUCAUAAAAGUGUAUCCAAGCACAUCACUCUCCUGGUCUGCAGCCUUUGUUGUUGAUGGUUAUCAAUUUCAAUUUUGAACGUAAUGAGAAAUAGAAAAAACACAAA